AUGUCACCGCCGGUAUAAAAAUGCACGGCAGCAUCUCCACUUUCAUUCACCGCUUCUCAAACUUGGGGACUUGAGCACAUCAGUGAGUCCAGGCUUUGUUAACACUCCACGCAAAGAUGAAUAAGCUGUGUAUAGUUUACCUCGGAGUUCUCCUGCUGGCUCUUCAUCUUUCAUUACAGGUGGCCACGGUUACUGCAACCAAUACCACCGUGAAGCCGGCGACCGAUAAGAACGGCUGUGAGAGGGCCGAAGGCCUCACACUGCUGCUCCCACUGGCUCUGGCAGCUUGGCUCCUCCACGGCUGGUCUCACUGACUGGACUGAUGGGUCUCUUCACCGGACACAAGACCAGACUGAGGGUGCAGCAUUCUUCAGUUCUAUAAAUCCCUCUCAUAAAAGUGUCCAGGAUUUCAAAGCUUUACUCCUAUUCUCAUGUUGGAAAUUUUUCAUUUUGAAAGGCCAGAGCCAUGUCUCUACGCUUACAACCAGGGAGGCACCUUGCUGUUCUUGUUCCUUUUUGUCCUGUUCUUUGCAGGGGGCUCCUCAUGGACUACCUGAAAAUUCACAGUUGACUGGAAAAACAAUGGUCUCUUGGUUGAGCCUGUCAGUAGAGAUGGUGUAAUCAUAUUCCCCCUGUGUGCUUUUUAAAAAAAUGUUAUACUUGAUCCAGGCAUCAGGCCAAAAAGUGUAAACAAGUUUAGAAAGUUUGUCUUACAAAUUUGGGAAAUAUGGGAGUAAUGUUAAUGUGACUGUGCUUUUAGAUCUUGACUUUUCUAAGUUCAAUAAAACUAACUUGAAAGUAACAA